AUAAUCAAUAAACAAUGUAUGAAUGUGAUGGAAGCUAAAGAAGUAUGUAAGGAGCGUAGUAGGUGGCGCUCUGUAGUUUCUGUAUACCAUCAGAUGUAUGAAUGUGAUGGAAGCUAAAGAAGUAUGUAAGGAGCGCAGUAGGUGGCGCUCUGUAGUUUCUGUAUACCAUCAGAUGUAUGAAUGUGAUGGAAGCUAAAGAAGUAUGUAAGGAGCGUAGUAGGUGGCGCUCUGUAGUUUCUGUAUACCAUCAGAUGUAUGAAUGUGAUGGAAGCUAAAGAAGUAUGUAAGGAGCGUAGUAGGUGGCGCUCUGUAGUUUCUGUAUACCAUCAGAUGUAUGAAUGUGAUGGAAGCUAAAGAAGUAUGUAAGGAGCGUAGUAGGUGGCGCUCUGUAGUUUCUGUAUACCAUCAGAUGUAUGAAUGUGGUGGAAGCUAAAGAAGUAUGUAAGGAGCGUAGUAGGUGGCGCUCUGUAGUUUCUGUAUACCAUCAGAUGUAUGAAUGUGAUGGAAGCUAAAGAAGUAUGUAAGGAGCGUAGUAGGUGGCGCUCUGUAGUUUCUGUAUACCAUCAGAUGUAUGAAUGUGAUGGAAGCUAAAGAAGUAUGUAAGGAGCGCAGUAGGUGGCGCUCUGUAGUUUCUGUAUACCAUCAGAUGUAUGAAUGUGGUGGAAGCUAAAGAAGUAUGUAAGG